rnacentral:rRNA from 1 species
UGGGGAAUAUUGCACAAUGGGCGCAAGCCUGAUGCAGCCAUGCCGCGUGUGUGAAGAAGGCCUUCGGGUUGUAAAGCACUUUCAGCGGGGAGGAAGGCGAUAAGGUUAAUAACCUUGUCGAUUGACGUUACCCGCAGAAGAAGCACCGGCUAACUCCGUGCCAGCAGCCGCGGUAAUACGGAGGGUGCAAGCGUUAAUCGGAAUUACUGGGCGUAAAGCGCACGCAGGCGGUUUGUUAAGUCAGAUGUGAAAUCCCCGGGCUCAACCUGGGAACUGCAUUCGAAACUGGCAGGCUAGAGUCUUGUAGAGGGGGGUAGAAUUCCAGGUGUAGCGGUGAAAUGCGUAGAGAUCUGGAGGAAUACCGGUGGCGAAGGCGGCCCCCUGGACGAAGACUGACGCUCAGGUGCGAAAGCGUGGGGAGCAAACAGG